rnacentral:rRNA from 1 species
GACGAACGCUGGCGGCGUGCUUAACACAUGCAAGUCGAACGGAAAGGCCCUGCUUUUGUGGGGUGCUCGAGUCGCGAACGGGUGAGUAACACGUGAGUAACCUGCCCUUGACUUUGGGAUAACUUCAGGAAACUGGGGCUAAUACCGGAUAGGAGCUCCUGCUGCAUGGUGGGGGUUGGAAAGUUUCGGCGGUUGGGGAUGGACUCGCGGCUUAUCAGCUUGUUGGUGGGGUAGUGGCUUACCAAGGCUUUGACGGGUAGCCGGCCUGAGAGGGUGACCGGCCACAUUGGGACUGAGAUACGGCCCAGACUCCUACGGGAGGCAGCAGUGGGGAAUAUUGCACAAUGGGCGGAAGCCUGAUGCAGCAACGCCGCGUGCGGGAUGACGGCCUUCGGGUUGUAAACCGCUUUCGCCUGUGACGAGGCGUGAGUGACGGUAAUGGGUAAAGAAGCACCGGCUAACUACGUG